rnacentral:lncRNA from 1 species
UCAGGAGGUGCAGCAAGUUAACGGGGAAGUUUGGCAUGAUCUUGCCCUUGGCCAAGAGUAGAAGUUUCAAUUAACUAGUGCCAGUGUGUCAUGCUUAUAGCAGUAAGUAGAUGAUAUUGCUUCCAGUUACUGGACUAAGCUUCUUCCUUUCUAUGUACGGGAUGAAUAUCAAGAAAUUUGCGUUCGUUUCUGGUUGCUUGCUGUCUUAAAUGCACUCUUUUUGUAUUUUUGCUUUGCAUUCUAAAGGCAAGAUAUGCAUAAUGAUAGAUUUAGUGUCGCGCAGCACAAAUCUGUAAUAGAAUUUGUUACUGGUGUUUAUAGUGUGGGAAAUGAAAUGAAGGAGAGGGAGUUUAAAUAAAAUCUGUAGUUUAUUUUAAAAGUUUGAAGGAGG